rnacentral:rRNA from 1 species
AGGGAAAGGUGAAAAGAACCCCGGGAGGGGAGUGAAAUAGUACCUGAAACCGUAUGUCUACAAGCAGUCGAAGCGAAAGCGACGGCGUGCCUAUUGAAGAAUGAACCAACGAGUUAUCUGCACUAGCGAGGUUAAGUGGAAGACACGGAGCCGCAGCGAAAGCGAGUCUUAAGAGGGCGCUAGUUAGUGUAGGUAGACCCGAAACCGCAGUGAUCUACCCAUGUCCAGGUUGAAGCGCAGGUAAAAUUGCGUGGAGGACCGAACCGGUGAGCGUUGAAAAGCUUUCGGAUGAGAUGUGGGUAGGGGUGAAAUUCCAAUCGAACGCGGAGAUAGCUGGUUCUCCCCGAAAUAGCUUUAGGGCUAGCCUGAGGUAGUAAGUAUAGGCGGUAGAGCACUGAUCGGGCUAGGGGCCGUAAAGGUUACCGAACCCUGUCAAACUCCGAAUGGAUAUACUGUAGAGCCUUGGAGUCAGACUACGAGUGAUAAGAUCCGUGGUCAAAAGGGAAACAGCCCAGACCACCAGCUAAGGUCCCCAAUGUCGUACUAAGUGGAAAAGGAUGUGGGGUUUCAUAAACAACCAGGAUGUUGGCUCAGAAGCAGCCACCAUUUAAAGAGUGCGUAAUAGCUCACUGGUCGAGAGACCCUGCGCCGAAGAUUCCCGGGGCUAAAGUACGAAACCGAAGCUGUGGCUGUAUACGUAAAGUAUACGGGGUAGGGGAGCGUUCCCAUAGGGUAGAAGUCGAACUGGAAGGUUCGGUGGACUUGUGGGAAGUGAGAAUGUUGGUAUGAGUAGCGAAAAGAAAGGUGAGAAUCCUUUCCACCGAAAGCAUAAGGAUUCCUGAGCAACGAUCGUCGUCUCAGGGUAAGUCGGGACCUAAUCCGAGGCAGAGAGCGUAGGAGAUGGACAACUGGUUGAUAUUCCAGUACCGGUAGUAAUUGUUUGAGCAAUGGAGUGACACAGAAGGGCAGGCAAGCAUGCGAAUGGAAGAGCAUGUGUAAGCGUGUAGGGUGGUGCAUAGGCAAAUCCGUGCACUGAAAGCCUGAGGCGUGAUGCGGAGUGAGCAGAGAUGCGAGCGAAGUUGUUGACCCCACACUGUCGAGAAAAGCUUCUAGUGAGAGAGCUACCGCCCGUACCGUAAACCGACACAGGUAUGCGGGGAGAGAAUCCUAAGGUGCGCGGGAGAACCCUCGUUAAGGAACUCGGCAAAAUGUACCCGUAACUUCGGGAUAAGGGUAGCCACUGUUGUGAAGUCCCACGCGGAUGGAGCAUAGAGUGGUCGCAGAGAAGAGGCCCAAGCGACUGUUUACCAUAAACACAGGUGCCUGCUAAAGCGAAAGCUGACGUAUAGGUGCUGACACCUGCCCAGUGCCGGAAGGUUAAGGAAGGAUGUUCGGAUUAGUCCAAAGCAUUCGACUGAAGCCCCGGUGAACGGCGGCCGUAACUAUAACGGUCCUAAGGUAGCGAAAUUCCUUGUCGGGUAAGUUCCGACCCGCACGAAAGGUGUAACGAUUUGGGCACUGUCUCAACGAGGGACCCGGUGAAAUUGAAAUACCUGUGAAGAUGCAGGUUACCCGCGACUGGACAGAAAGACCCCAUGGAGCUUUACUGUAACCUGACAUUGGGUUUUGAUACAUUACGUACAGGAUAGGUGGGAGGCUUGGAAAGUUGGACGCUAGUCUGACUGGAGCCGACGUUGGGAUACCACCCUUGAUGUAUUGAAAUUCUAACCGCGAGAGUAACGAAAUCCGGGACAGUGUCAGGCGGGCAGUUUGACUGGGGCGGUCGCCUCCGAAAGAGUAACGGAGGCGCCCAAAGGUUCCCUCAGCGCGGCCGGAAAUCGCGCGAAGAGUGUAAAGGCAGAAGGGAGCUUGACUGCGAGUCAAACACGACGAGCAGGUACGAAAGUAGGGCUUAGUGAUCCGGUGGUACCGAGUGGAAGGGCCAUCGCUCAACGGAUAAAAGCUACCCUGGGGAUAACAGGCUAAUCUCUCCCAAGAGUCCAUAUCGACGGGGAGGUUUGGCACCUCGAUGUCGGCUCAUCACAUCCUGGGGCUGAAGUCGGUCCCAAGGGUUGGGCUGUUCGCCCAUUAAAGUGGUACGUGAGCUGGGUUCAGAACGUCGUGAGACAGUUCGGUCCCUAUCCAUCGCGGGCGCAAGAGAUUUGAAGGGGGCUGCUCCUAGUACGAGAGGACCGGAGUGGACGAACCGCUGGUGUACCAAUUAUCCCGCCAGGGGUACAGUUGGGUAGCUACGUUCGGAAAGGAUAAACGCUGAAAGCAUCUAAGCGUGAAACCAGCCUUAAGAUGAGAUCUCUCAUAGAGCAAUCUAGU